rnacentral:lncRNA from 1 species
GGAAAGUCGGGAAGGAGGUUCUGUUUUGUGCCGGGCCCGCACCUGGCUGGCCAGCGCCUCGGGCCCAGGCUCCGUGUGGACGGGGCCGGACUCAUACAGCCUCGGGCCGCCCGCUCCGAGGUGUGCCUCACCUGCUGGGCUGUACCGGCCCGCAUCGCCUCACACCCCGCUGCUGAAGGCCGGAGGACUCCGCCCGUGACAGGCAGACAUCAGUCCUUCCAUCUGGCGCUUGUUAUGUACAGGUUCGUUGCUGCCA